GGCCGCGUGGCCCAACGGAUAAGGCGUCCGACUUCGAAAUCUUUCUGUAUGGAAGAUGAAGUUAUCGGAAGAUUGUGGGUUCGAGUCCCAUCGUGGUCG
rnacentral:tRNA from 1 species